rnacentral:rRNA from 1 species
UACGGGGGGGGCAAGCGUUGUUCGGAAUUACUGGGCGUAAAGGGCUCGUAGGCGGCCAACUAAGUCAGAAGUGAAAUCCCUCGGCUUAACCGGGGAACUGCAUCUGAUACUGGAUGGCUUGAGUUCGGGAGAGGGAUGCGGAAUUCCAGGUGUAGCGGUGAAAUGCGUAGAUAUCUGGAGGAACACCGGUGGCGAAGGCGGCAUCCUGGACCGACACUGACGCUGAGGAGCGAAAGCCAGGGGAGCAAACGGG